UACGGGGGGAGCAAGCGUUGUUCGGAAUUACUGGGCGUAAAGCGCACGUAGGCGGAUCGAUCAGUCAGGGGUGAAAUCCCAGAGCUCAACUCUGGAACUGCCUUUUGAUACUGUCGGUCUAGAGUAUGGAAGAGGUGAGUGGAAUUCCGAGUGUAGAGGUGAAAUUCGUAGAUAUUCGGAGGAACACCAGUGGCGAAGGCGGCUCACUGGUCCAUUACUGACGCUGAGGUGCGAAAAGCGUGGGGAGCAAACAGG
rnacentral:rRNA from 1 species